UACGGAGGGUGCAAGCGUUGUCCGGAAUCACUGGGCGUAAAGGGCGCGUAGGCGGCGUCGCGAGUCAACGGUGAAAGCUCAGGGCUCAACCCUGAGUCGGCCGUCGAUACUGCGAGGCUUGAGCACUGUAGAGGCAGGUGGAAUUCCGGGUGUAGCGGUGGAAUGCGUAGAGAUCCGGAAGAACACCGGUGGCGAAGGCGGCCUGCUGGGCAGUAGCUGACGCUGAGGCGCGACAGCGUGGGGAGCAAACAGG
rnacentral:rRNA from 1 species